AGGGUCGGGGAAGCUGUGAUGGCAAUGAGAAGUCAACACACUGAGGAUGGAGAGAAAGAAGAUGAGUCUGGGAGAGAAAGAGAAUGAUUCUUCUGGCCGAGGGAAAGCAAGAAUAUCUGUUCCUGCAACUGCACUGAUUCUAGAAACACUCUCUAUUCGAACUCUCAUGAGGGAUACAAUAGCUCUCCUUCCCUUCCACCAUGACUAAAAUCUUCCUGGGCCUCAGCAGAAGCCGAGCAGAUGUGGGUGUCGUGCUUGUACAGCCUGCAGAACUGUGAGCCAAAUAAACCUCUUUUCUUGAUAGAUUACCCAGCAUCAGGUAUUCCUUUUUAUCACAGUGUGAAUGGACUCACACAAUACAUACAAUGGAAUAUCAUUCAGCCUUAAAAAUUAGGAAAUUCUGACACAUGCUACAACAUAAAUGAACGUUGAGGACAUUAUGCUAAGUGAAACAAGCCAAUCACAAAAAGCAAAUAUUAUAUUUUUCCACUUAUAUGAGAUCCUUAGAGUAAUCAAAUUCAUAGAGACAGAAAGUAGACCAGUGGUUUCCAGGGGCUGGGAAAGUAGGGAGUUUUUGUUUUUGUUUUUUGAGAUGGAGUCCUGAUCUGUCGCCCAGGCUGGGGUGCAUUGGCAUGAUCUCGGCUCAAACUCCUGACCUCAAGUGAUCCACCCACCUCAGCCUCCCAAAGAGCUAGGAUUAUAAGUGUGAACCACCGCGUCCGGCCCAGGAGUUCUUGUUUAACAGGUAAAGAGUUGCAGUUGGGAUGACGAAAAAGUUCUGGAAAUAGACAGUGGUGAUGCUUGCACAACCUGUAAAUGUACUUAAUGCUGAAAUGUGGUACUUAAAAAUGGUUAAAAUUGUAAAUUUUAAGUUAUAUAUAUUUAGCACAAUAAAAUGUAAAAAAACUAUAAAGGAUGUACAUUAGGGGAAAAAAGGCAACCACAAAGUUUAGGGGCUGUGUAUCAGAGAUGAACACUGUCAUAUUACAGGGAGGCUUUGAGAGGCAGAAGUUCCUAGGUCAUUGAGAAUGAAUGCAAAUAGAGAUUGGAUAGAAAUUAAAACUGACAGUAUAAAAAUGUAGCUCAGAAAAAUUAAAAAAAAAGCUGAAAAA
rnacentral:lncRNA from 1 species